UACGAGGGGGGCAAAUGUUGUUCGGAAUCACUGGGCGUAAAGGGAGCGUAGGCGGGUUUUUAAGUCAGGUGUUUAAUCCCGGGGCCCAACCCCGGACAGGCACUUGAAACUGGGAAUCUUGAAUAGUGGAGAGGUCAGUGGAAUUGGGGGUGUAGCGGUGGAAUGCGUAGGAGAUCCCCAAGAACACCCGUUGCGAAGGCGGCUGACUGGACACAUAUUGACGCUGAGGCUCGAAAGCAUGGGGAGCAAACAGG
rnacentral:rRNA from 1 species